rnacentral:lncRNA from 1 species
CGUAUCGUCUUUGCAUCAUUCUCGAAUAAAGUAUCCUUCAUUGCUAAUUCAACAUCAAUCUAUCUCAAUCAUCAUCCCGCUUCCUCGCUAUAGUCAUUCAUCACUAAUUCGCGGAUCCUACGUCAAUGAUCCGGUCUCUAUCGUUAUCUCUCCACAAACUUGUGUUCAUCAUCUCCCGCAUAUGGUGCGUCUGCAAAUUUUUCGUUCGGAUUUGUUUCGGUCCAAAAUCAAGGUCCGUAAAUAUGUUGCGGUUAAAUGGUUAGAUGCCAGUUUUCUUAAAACCAGCCUGAAUACAGCUGUUGGAAGUGAGAGCUAAUGGCACAACAGUGGCUACAAUACCAGACAAGGAUUACGCACUUCAUCUUUCCUGCCAAUUCGAGAUUCCAGCGGUGAGGCGCUGCAAUGGCCUGCUAAUAACUUCGCCAUUUAGCGACACUUGAUGAUAGGUAUAACCAGAGGUGGUUAGCGGUGGUCAUUGCAGGUGGUUGACG